rnacentral:misc_RNA from 1 species
CAACAAAUGGCCCCAUUGCCACUGCCACACUGAGAGUAUCGCCUCCCUGCCAGCGUCAACCGCUAAUACAUUCACGUUAUGUUACUACAUUAGUAUCGCGUAUGUGUGCAUUUGGGUAUGAUAUUUUACCAAUUGAGAGAACGCUAACGCGGAGACGCCCAUCUGGAACUCAGUCAUUCCGAACACGUACAGAGUAAGCAGAGUCUCUGUUGACCAUAUGCGAACGUGUGGUUGCGCUUUUCUGUGUCUACCAGCUUUUUGUCCGGAUGCCACCAGCUCUCUACUUGGGUGAACCUACA